rnacentral:rRNA from 1 species
AAACUUGAGAGUUUGAUCCUGGCUCAGAGUGAACGCUGGCGGCACGCCUAACACAUGCAAGUCGAGCGAUAAGCUAAACUUCGGUUUAGUGGACAGCGGCGGACGGGUGAGUAUCGCGUGGGAAUUUACCAUAGAGUGGGGAACAACUGCUGGAAACGGCAGCUAAUACCGCAUACGCCCUACGGGGGAAAGGCUUCGGCCGCUCUAUGAAAAGCCCGCGUACGAUUAGUUUGUUGGUGGGGUAAUGGCC